rnacentral:lncRNA from 1 species
UGGGUGGAUAUUUUAUUGCACCAAUUUAGGCUUCUCCCCAGAGAUUUCUUAAAACAGAAAGGCAGUUGUAAUACCAAGUAUUGCUGUAUCAGGCCACCUGCUACUCCAAGGCCAUGAAUUAACUUGUUCUAAGCCCUCAAGGAAAGAAAAGAGGAAACAGAGGUUUAUUCCCUAUCAAGACAGUCCACUCGAGAAAGUUCUGUCUUGGUUGUAACUUCAGGUUUCUUUCUUACACAGGCAUUUUAUUAAUGCUUUUACGAGUUAGAAGAGUUGGGAUAAUUUGCCAUCUGGAGUUUCUCUGCCUUGCUGAUCUGAGCUCAGACCUGCCAAUUUACCAGAGAUAAUUGAUAACACCCUGUAACAGCUGAGAGGAAAAUGGAAGAAACGGAGAUACUUUUAGUGAAACAGAAUAAACCACUGAACAGGAAAAAUGAGGAAGCUGUGAGUACCAGUGGAAGGAACGAGCCAGGAAGAGGGACUGGAACCAUCUCAGAAGCCAGGCCCCUCAGGCUGGAACUUGCCCUGUCUCCUCGCAGAUGAGACUGAGUGUACUUGGUCUGGUAUUUGUGGCAUAACUUACGGAACACAUAAGAAUGAUACAGAUACUAUUUAAUGAUGACCUAAUACAAGCUUAGAUAGCUAAGGUGAAAGCUUCUAUGGCCUUAACAUUUUCCUCUUGAAGAAUGUAUUUUCUGUAAUAAAAUACAGUGGCUACUUGAAAUCUAUAAACUUAUGUGAGGUCUGGAUAAAUCUGAGCAACUUUCUUCUUUGUGCUCCAGGAACC